rnacentral:lncRNA from 1 species
CAGGCGUUAAGCACCCGCCAUACGUGGGCCGAUCCCGAAGAUUGUGCAAUACCGGGCCGACCCGCGGCGGAGGUGAAGCAGGCGUUAAGCACUCGCCAUACGUGGGCCGAUCCCGAAGAUUGUGCAAUACCGGGCCGACCCGCGGCGGAGGUGAAGCAGGCGUUAAGCACUCGCCAUACGUGGGCCGAUCCCGAAGAUUGUGCAAUACCGGGCCGACCCGCGGCGGAGGUGAAGCAGGCGUUAAGCACUCGCCAUACGUGGACCGAUCCCGAAGAUUGUGCAAUACCGGCCCGACCCGCAGCGGCGGUGAAGCAGGCGUUAAGCACUCGCCAUACGUGGACCGAUCCCGAAGAUUGUGCAAUACCGGCCCGACCCGCGGCGGAGGUGAAGCAGGCGUUAAGCACUCGCCAUACGUGGACCGAUCCCGAAGAUUGUGCAAUACCGGCCCGACCCGCGGCGGAGGUGAAGCAGGCGUUAAGCACUCGGCAUACGUGGACCGAUCCCAAAGAUUGUGCAAUACCGGCCCGACCCG